ensembl:lncRNA
UACCUUACAAUAAUAGAUAAGUUCACAGAUUCCAAGCUAGCAACUGAGAGAAGUCUGAUGUCACCAUUGUCAAAAAAAUAAAACUUUUGUACGAUGUGAGGAAGGACAGCCUCUGACCCCUGAUUGUUUAGCAGCCAAAAUCAAAGAAUGAGCACCAUAGUAUCUGGGUUCGAAGAGCCAGUGUCCCAGGAGAACUGGCAUUUGCAUGGCCUAGCCUGAGAAGUCACAGAGUGUCACUACCUCCAUUUUCUGCAUGUUGACACAGUUGCAAAGGUCUAUCCAGAAUCUGGUAUGAUAACCAUUCAAUGCAUAUUUGGAGGAAAAAGGCUGGAAUGAAAGAAGAAAUGAAGGAGAGAGAUGUGAAUUUCAACUUGGUCCUUGUCCA